AUUGAACGCUGGCGGAAUGCUUUACACAUGCAAGUCGAGCGGCAGCGCGGGGCAACCUGGCGGCGAGCGGCGAACGGGUGAGUAAUACAUCGGAACGUACCCAGUUGUGGGGGAUAGCCCGGCGAAAGCCGGAUUAAUACCGCAUACGACCUGAGGGUGAAAGGGGGGGAUCGCAAGACCUCUCGCAGUUGGAGCGGCCGAUGGCGGAUUAGCUAGUUGGUGAGGUAAAGGCUCACCAAGGCGACGAUCCGUAGCUGGUCUGAGAGGACGACCAGCCACACUGGAACUGAGACACGGUCCAGACGCCUACGGGAGGCAGCAGUGGGGAAUUUUGGACAAUGGGGGCAACCCUGAUCCAGCCAUUCCGCGUGAGUGAAGAAGGCCUUCGGGUUGUAAAGCUCUUUCGGCAGGAACGAAACGGUGUCCCCUAAUACGGGAUGCUACUGACGGUACCUGAAGAAGAAGCACCGGCUAACUACGUGCCAGCCGCCGCGGUAACAC
rnacentral:rRNA from 1 species